AGAUUGGCUUUACAUGGACGUUGAGACUUGAUAGGAUGCUAAAUAAUGCUACAGAGUUUCAGGAGCUUAGUUGCUAAAGAAGUAAUUGCUUAUAAAACAUUUGAUACAUAUUUUUGUACAGAUCGAAUGAGCUUACAACACAACCCCUAGCAGUUUAAUACGCUCAAAAAUACCUAAGAGAAGUGAAGGAGAUCAUAAAAGAGUAGACAAAACUUGGUUUUCAAAAGAAAAAAAAGUCAACGAGGUGUCAAAGGAAGCAGAGAAAGUAAAAGGUUGGUCGGAGAAGAAUGAAGCUAAGUAGAAAAGGAGUGCUAUGUGGAGCAACCAAGUGUUCACUUCAGAUAAAGUUUACGCCAAAGUAUUUACUCUGCAAGACACUGUACAGAAAAUGAGUUUGAUAUUUUAAAUGCAAU